GCCCUAUUGCCCCAAGUGGGUAAAAAUUUGUGGGAUAAGGAGAAAUUCUCCAGGCGUAGUCACCGCCUCAGCAGCCCUGGUAAUACUUGGCCACCUAGAGGCUGCAUGGCUCAACUCCCAUUGAACUAACAGAAAGCUUCAAGGUCAGGGCUAUAGAAAGGAGUUCUGCUCAGACAAUGAAGGGCAUCUGUAGGGCAUUCUCAGAUAUCUCCUAAACCCCUUAAAACUCUGCAACGACGCGCAAUACUCACCUGACCCUCUAGGCUUUCAGGAGGGAUCAGUUGUCAGACAAAUACUCUGUCAACCUGGAAGACAGUCUUAUAAAGAGUCCUCAUGAGUUCCCCCUUGGUGUAGUCUUCUGCUGGACUCUGAGGAUCAUUGCCUUUCCAGAGCAUAGCUGGGAUUUUCUCCAUCACAAGGGGUCCCAAUCCAUGAAGUUGCCACCAUCCUCAGAUGGCCGAAGCUAAGGCUGAGAAGUCAAAUGAUUUGCCUGAGGUCGUCACCCAGCU
rnacentral:lncRNA from 1 species